UACUGUACUACACCGUCACUAACCUUGGGAGCAUAGGUGUUGUCCUCUAAAUCUGACACACAAGACACCAUACAUGUAAUGUACGCAUUAUCUGUUGAAGUAAGGAUUUUACAUGUCCAUGUGAUAAACUAAUCACGUCACUGUGGAAGAUUCUACAAAAAUCUGACACAUCAGAGCCUGAGACAAUAUUCCGUGUACACAUGACGCGCCUUUUAUAAUAACAGUUUGGUAAAAUUAGAAAAUAAAGCAAAUCUUUUAAUAAAAUAUUACAUUCACAGCAGUGAUUUUAAAUCAAUACUAAACAUCCUGUCCAGGAAGGCUACAAAUAGAUAGAACACAACUUUCUCUCUGGAUUAGGUAUGGGCUCAACAUAAUGUGUUCUUCCACUUACUCCUCCCUCUUGUGGUGACCAAUGUCAUGACAGAAGUAUUAGUGGCAAGAUGCGUGUUUACAAAAACCAAAGAGAGUCUAAAGUUUUUGGUGAAACUCCAUAGCCAGUCUUAUCUGUGCUAAACACUUGUAAAGGCUGUCAAACUGUUAUUGCAUAAAAUCAUGCGACUGGGUUGAAGGAUUAAUUUUUGCUCUGAAUCAUGAUGAACAAUAAGUAGACCAAGGUGUGCAGAGGUGUUAGGGAUACCAAAAUGAAAAUACACUUCAAGGAAGUAUUGAAUAAGUAAAUUAUUUGCACUGU